CCUACGGGUGGCAGCAGUGAGGAAUAUUGGUCAAUGGACGAGAGUCUGAACCAGCCAAGUAGCGUGAAGGAUGACUGCCCAAUGGGUUGUAAACUUCUUUUAUAUGGGAAUAAAAUGUUCCACGUGUGGGAUUUUGUAUGUACCAUAUGAAUAAGGAUCGGCUAACUCCGUGCCAGCAGCCGCGGUAAUACGGAGGAUCCGAGCGUUAUCCGGAUUUAUUGGGUUUAAAGGGUGCGUAGGUGGAUUGUUAAGUCAGGUGUGAAAGUUUGGGGCUCAACCGUAAAAUUGCAGUUGAAACUGGCAGUCUUGAGUACAGUAGAGGUGGGCGGAAUUCGUGGUGUAGCGGUGAAAUGCUUAGAUAUCACGAAGAACUCCGAUUGCGAAGGCAGUUCACUGGCCUGCAACUGACACUGAGGCUCGAAAGUGUGGGUAUCAAACAGGAUUAGAUACCCGGGUAGUC
rnacentral:rRNA from 1 species